UACGAAGGGGGGCUAGCGUUGCUCGGAAUCACUGGGCGUAAAGCGCACGUAGGCGGAUUGCUAAGUCAGGGGUGAAAUCCUGGAGCUCAACUCCAGAACUGCCUUUGAUACUGGCGACCUUGAGUCCGGGAGAGGUGAGUGGAACUGCGAGUGUAGAGGUGAAAUUCGUAGAUAUUCGCAAGAACACCAGUGGCGAAGGCGGCUCACGGGCCCGGUACUGACGCUGAGGUGCGAAAAGCGUGGGGGAGCAAACAGG
rnacentral:rRNA from 1 species